AACGAACGCUGGCGGCAUGCCUAACACAUGCAAGUCGAACGAGCCCUUCGGGUCUAGUGGCGUACGGGUGCGUAACGCGUGGGAACCUGCCCUUAGGUUCGGCAUAACUCCCCGACAGGGGUGCUAAUACCGGAUAAUGUCUUCGGCCCAAAGAUUUAUCGCCUUUGGAUGGUCCCGCGUUGGAUUAGCUAGUUGUUAGGGUAAAAGCCUACCACGGCGACGAUUCAUAGCUGGUCUGAGAGGAUGCUCAGCCACACUGGGACUGAGACACGGCCCAGAAUCCUACGGGAGGCAGCAGUGGGGAAUAGUGGACAGUGGGCGAAAGGAUGAUCCAGCAAUGCCGCGUGAGUGAUGAAGGCAUUAGGGUUGUAAAGCGCUUGUAACCGGGAAGAUAAUGACAGUACCGGGAGAAUAAGCUCCGGCUAACUCCGUG
rnacentral:rRNA from 1 species